GACGAACGCUGGCGGCGUGCCUAACACAUGCAAGUCGAGCGGACGGAUGAGAAGCUUCCUGCUCUGAUGUUAGCAGCGGACGGGUGAGUAACACGUGUAUGACCUACCUAUGGGACAGGGAUAGCUUCAUGAAACCGUAGCUAAUCCCGGAUAAUAUUUUGAACCACAUGGUUCAAGAGUGAAAGACGGUCUUGCGGUCACUUAUAGAUGGAUCCGCGCUGCAUUAGCUAGUUGGUAAGGUAACGGCUUACCAAGGCAACGAUGCAUAGCCGACCUGAGAGGGUGAUCGGCUAGCCUGGAACAGAGACACGGUCCAGACUCCUACGGGAGGAAGCAGUAGGGAAUCGUCCGCAAUGGGGGAAUGCGUGACGGAGCAACGCAGCGUGAGCGCUGAAGGUCUUAGGCUCGUAGAACUGUGUAAUCAGGGGGGAAGAGAUGUGUAAGCAGCUGUGCAGAUCUUGACGGUACCUACUGAGAAAGCCCCGGCUAACUCCGUG
rnacentral:rRNA from 1 species